AGAACGAACGCUGGCGGCAGGCCUAACACAUGCAAGUCGAACGCAACUUCGGUUGAGUGGCGCACGGGUGAGUAACGCGUGGGAACCUGUCCUGUGGUACGGAAUAACAUCGGGAAACUGGUGCUAAUACCGUAUAUCCCCUGAGGGGGAAAGAUUUAUCGCCAUAGGAGGGGCCCGCGUAGGAUUAGCUAGUUGGUGAGGUAACGGCUCACCAAGGCGACGAUCCUUAGCUGGUCUGAGAGGAUGAUCAGCCACACUGGGACUGAGAUACGGCCCAGACUCCUACGGGAGGCAGCAGUGGGGAAUAUUGGACAAUGGGCGAAAGCCUGAUCCAGCCAUGCCGCGUGUGUGAUGAAGGCCUUCGGGUUGUAAAGCACUUUCGCACGUGACGAUGAUGACGGUAACGUGAGAAGAAGCCCGGCUAACUUCGUGCCAGCAGCCGC
rnacentral:rRNA from 1 species